GCUUAUGGGCGCAAGCCUGAUGCAGCCAUGCCGCGUGUAUGAAGAAGGCCUUCGGGUUGUAAAGUACUUUCAGCGGGGAGGAAGGGAGUAAAGUUAAUACCUUUGCUCAUUGACGUUACCCGCAGAAGAAGCACCGGCUAACUCCGUGCCAGCAGCCGCGGUAAUAAGGGUUCGA
rnacentral:rRNA from 1 species